rnacentral:rRNA from 1 species
CCCUUAGAUGUCCUGGGCCACACGCGCGUUACACUGAUGCAUUCAACGAGCUUAUAACCUUGGCCGAGAGGCCUGGGCAAUCUUGUUAACGUGCAUCGUGAUAGGGAUAGAUUAUUGAAAUUAUUAAUCUUGAACGAGGAAUUCCUAGUAAACGCAGAUCAUCAAUCUGCAUUGAUUACGUCCCUGCCCUUUGUACACACCGCCCGUCGCACCUACCGAUUGGAUGGUCCGGUGAAGCCUCGGGAUUGUGGUUCUUGCCGCUUUGUUGUGGCGUGACCGCGAGAACUUGUCUAAACCUUAUCAUCUAGAGGAAGGUGAAGUCGUAACA